rnacentral:rRNA from 1 species
UGGGGAAUUUUGGACAAUGGGCGCAAGCCUGAUCCAGCCAUGCCGCGUGCGGGAAGAAGGCCUUCGGGUUGUAAACCGCUUUUGUCAGGGAAGAAAUUGCUCGGGCUAAUACCCUGGGCCGAUGACGGUACCUGAAGAAUAAGCACCGGCUAACUACGUGCCAGCAGCCGCGGUAAUACGUAGGGUGCGAGCGUUAAUCGGAAUUACUGGGCGUAAAGCGUGCGCAGGCGGUCGUGCAAGACAGAUGUGAAAUCCCCGGGCUCAACCUGGGAACUGCAUUUGUGACUGCACGGCUUGAGUACGGUAGAGGAGGAUGGAAUUCCGCGUGUAGCAGUGAAAUGCGUAGAUAUGCGGAGGAACACCGAUGGCGAAGGCAGUCCCCUGGGCCUGUACUAGACGCUC